GCCAUCGCUCAAUGGAAGAGCAUCUGUUUUGCAUGCAGAAGAUCCCAGAUUCAAUCCCUGGCAUCUCCA